UACAGAGGUUGCAAGCGUUAAUCGGAUUUACUGGGCGUAAAGGGUGUGUAGGUGGUUUGGAAAGUCGGUUGUGAAAUCCCCGGGCUCAACCUGGGAAUUGCUUCCGAUACUUCCGGACUAGAGUACGGUAGAGGGCGGUGGAAUUUCCGGUGUAGCGGUGAAAUGCGUAGAUAUCGGAAGGAACACCAAUGGCGAAGGCAGCCGCCUGGGCCUGUACUGACACUGAGACACGAAAGCGUGGGGAUCAAACAGG
rnacentral:rRNA from 1 species